rnacentral:rRNA from 1 species
CCUACGGGUGGCUGCAGGGAGGAAUAUUGGGCAAUGGGCGCGAGCCUGAACCAGCCAAGGAGCGUGAAGGAUGACUGCCCUACGGGUUGUAAACUUCUUUUAUAAAGGAAUAAACUGAGGCACGUGUGCCUUUUUGUAUGUACCUUAUGAAUAAGGAUCGGCUAACUCCGUGCCAGCAGCCGCGGUAAUACGGAGGAUCCGAGCGUUAUCCGGAUUUAUUGGGUUUAAAGGGAGCGUAGAUGGGUUGUUAAGUCAGUUGUGAAUGUUUGCGGCUCAACCGUAAAAUUGCAAUUGAUACUGGCAGCCUUGAGUACAGUUGAGGUAGGCGGAAUUCGUGGUGUAGCGGUGAAAUGCUUAGAUAUCACGAAGAACUCCGAUUGCGAAGGCAGCUUACUAAACUGCAACUGACAUUGAUGCUCGAAAGUGUGGGUAUCAAACAGGAUUAGAUACCCCUGUAGUC